GGUUGCGAUCAUACCAGCACUAAUGCACCGGAUCCCAUCAGAACUCUGCAGUUAAGCGUGCUUGGGCGAGAGUAGUACUAGGAUGGGUGACCCCCUGGGAAGUCCUCGUGUUGCAACCC
rnacentral:rRNA from 2 species